GGCUCCUUGANNCACCUCCCAUAAGGAGUCGGACCUGCCCAGUGAAUUAAGUUUUCAACGGCCGCGGUACUCUGACCGUGCAAAGGUAGCAUAAUCAUUUGCCCUAUAAUUGAGGGCUAGUAUGAAUGGUUUGACGUGAGCAAAACUGUCUCUGUAUAAAUUUCCAGAAUUUGAUUUUUAGGUGAAGAAACCUAAGUUCUAUUGAUAGACAAGAAGACCCUAUUGAGCUUUAAAAGAACAAGUAGAAAAUAAUAUAUAGACUUAAAUAUUAAUCUACUUUAAAUUUUGGUUGGGGCGACUAAGGAACAAAUAAAGCUUCUUUACUACUUUUAUACCUACAGGUUUUGAUCCAGAAGUUCUGAUUAAUGGAAUUAGUUACCAUAGGGAUAACAGCAUAAUUUUCUUUGAGAGUCCUUAUCGAAAAGAAAGUUUGUGACCUCGAUGUUGGACUAGAAUAUCCUGAAGAUGCAGCAGUCUUUAAGGGUUGGUCUGUUCGACCAUUAAAAUUCU
rnacentral:rRNA from 1 species